AAUUCCCAAUUUCAAGAGGGAAAUUGAGUAUGGCCUUGCUUCCACGCAAUCUAAAGGCAGCACUAUCAUAAGCUUUUGCAGCUUCUAUGGCGGUAUCAAAUGUCCCGAGCCAUACACGAGCUCCUUUCUUAUUAGGAUCUCGAAUCUCCGCUGCAUAUUUCCCCCACGGCCUACGCCGGACUCCUCUGUAAUGCUUUUCUCCACUAGAAUGAUCAGUUGCAGCUACUGAUACCGCUACCGGCUUCUGCGGUGGGAUAGCCUUCAAGGUUGCUGGAGGGGGUAUUGAUAUGUUACUCAUGGCUGGUUUCCUCUGGCUCAGAGUAGAAGAUCUGAGUGUAUUGCUGGAGUUUUGAACCAGCUGAGGCUUAUUGAAUUCCAUCUUGUGUGGUUGCUGUGGAAUCAAACAAUCAAAUUCUUGGGAUUCAGUUUUAAAGAAGAUGGAAGCAUCAAGAUUGAAGUUAUCCAUGGAAGCGAAGUCAGUGAGGAGGUGUUGCCUAAUAAGCUCUAAAGUUGAAGCUUCGUCAGGAGAAGCCAUGAUAGAAAUUAGUCUCUGUUUCGAAAGACCCUGAAAGGGGUGUUGAGAAAAUCGAAAAUUCAGAGAAGGGAUAAGAAGAAUUUGAGUGGAAUAGAAAGAGUGAGGCGAAUAUAUAUAUAAGGGAAGAAUAAUGGUGGGAGGUAGAGUUUCGUGUGAGGUUCGCGGGCGGUGUGACGAAGCAUCCGUAGUGGAAAAAAUUAGAGUAUUGACGUCGUGGGUCUUCGAUUGCGCCUCUUUUUAUCGUAUUUAGUGGAUUUUUUUAAAUGUAAGAGUGGGAGCCCAUACUCCUUUCUUUAAGUUAAACCAUGCUUCCAGGCUCCUUCGGGCGAAACGUUUAGCAUUAUAUUAUGCUCAAUUGCUC
rnacentral:misc_RNA from 1 species